UUUUUUUUACAAAAAAAAUUAUUUUUAACUCAUGCUAUUUCUUUGUUUAAUAUUUAUCACACUCUCUAUAUAACUAGUUCUAUUAUAUUUCUAACAAAUAAAAUGUUGUUAUUCAAUAAUAUAUUUUUAAUAUAAUUUAAAUCUAAAUGCAAUCCAUUGUUAUUCGAAUGAUGAUUAUAAAUUAUAUUUUAAAAUCUAGUGCUAUUCAAUGAAUGAUUUAAAUCCAAAUUUAAAAUAUAUUGUUAUUCAACUUUUAAGGAUUUAAAAAAAAAAAUUGUAUGUUAGAUUGAUUUCAAAUCAUUUCAUAUGGAGUAUUCUUAGGAUUUUGAAGGAAUAUGAGGCAGUUUCUGGGCAAUUAAUAAAUUUUGAGAAGUCUUCAAUUCAAUUUGGACAUAAGAUUGAGGAACCCGUUAGACAAGAAUUAAGGGACAUUUUGGGCAUUCAGAAUCAUGGAGGAAUGGGAUCCUAUCUGGGUCUACCAGAAAAUUUGGAGGGAUCAAAUAUCCAAGUUUUUAGCUUUGUCCAAGAUCGUUUAAAUAAAAGAGUUAAUGGGUGGACUUUCAAGUUUCUUACAAAAGGCGGAAAGGAAGUGAUUAUUAAAUCAGUGAUUACGGCAUUACCAAAUCAUACUAUAUCUUGUUAUCGUUUACCUAAGGCAACUGUGAAAAAAUUGACGAAUGCGGUAUCACAAUUCUGGUAGAGUCCAGGGGAAGUACACGAGGCAUGCACUGGAAAUCAUGGGACAAAGUAUGUGUGGAUAAGGAUGAAGGAGGUUUGGGGUUCAAAGACAUCACUGAUUUCAACACAGCGAUGCUUGGUAAACAGUUAUGGCGUCUGAUAGAGACGCCAAACACUUUAUUCUCUCGCGUCUUCAAAGGUCGGUAUUUCAGAAAUGCUUCACCUUUGGAACCGAUCCGUUCAUAUUCUUCGUCAUAUGGCUGGCAGAGUAUUGUUUCGGCUAGAUCUCUGGUAAGCAAAGGACUAAUCAAACGGGUAGGAUCUGGUUCUUCUAUUUCAGUAUGAAAUGAUCCAUGGCUCCCAACCACUCGCCCGAGACCAGCAAAUAAAAAUCAACACAAUUUAUAUUCGGACCUUACCGUGGAGUCUCUCAUUGACUCUAACUCACACACUUGGAAUUCACAAGCAAUCCGGGCUUUGGUAGAUCUACAGGAUGCGAAACUUAUAGAAAGUAUACCACUAAGCAGGACUCAGAGGAUAGAUAGGGAUGGAUGGCAUUUCACAAAGUCUGGAAAAUAUACGGUCAAAUCAGGAUAUCAGGUAGAACGGCUCUAUCCAGAUAGGGAAAGACCACCAUUAUUAAUUGGUCCCACAAUAGAUGCUCUGAAGGCUAACUGCUGAAAAAUACGUUGCCCACCAAAGUUAAAACAUUUUCUAUGGCAACUAGUGACAAGAUGUAUAACAGUAAAGAAAAAUUUACAUGCACGGAGAAUACAAGGAGAUAUUUGUUGUGGAAUAUGUGGAGCCCAGGAGGAGUCUAUUAACCAUGUGUUCUUUGAGUGUCCUCCAGCAAUGCAGGUUUGGGCUCUUUCGAAGAUACCAUCAAAUCCAGCUAUCUUUCCGACAAGUGCUCUCUUCACAAAAUUUUGUAUGUUAGAUUGAUUUCAAAUCAUUUCAUAUGGAGUCUCAUGAAUAAAUAAUGGAACUCAAAAUCUAAUGCUACUAGAGAGAUUUUACUAUCCAUCAAUUUAAACCAUCUUAAAAUUUAAAAAUUUGAUAGAUUAAAAAAAAAAAAUUGAUUUCAAAUCAUUAAUUGAAUAACACAUCCUAAUAGAUUCCGAGAUUUGUAUUUGUAUUUUGAAUUAUUACUGAGUGUAGGUAUGAGUACCUUAUAUUACUAAGUUAUUAAUCCUCCGGGGAAAACUAGCUUCAAUUAAUACAUUUUAUAUAACAAGUGGGAAUAAGAAGAAGAUGAAGAAAACAACAAAUUAACUAUAUCAAAAAUUCUUAAUUGUUUUAAAUUCUUUAGAAAAGAGGAAAAAAAUUAAAAAAAAUUACAUUUGCAUAGUAAAUAAUAUUUGUUUCUUACGCACCUAUAAAUUUGCAUAGUUUUAAUAUAUUGACUCAUAUUAUUUUCAAAUGUGUAAUAUGAACUAGUUUUGUACAUAAGUCAACAAUUUAUUUAUAUUUCUUGCUAAACACGAAAUCUGCAAACUGAAAGUGAAGAAAUUGAUGGCAUCUAAAACAUUGUCUUUAAUUUAGAUCAAAUUUAUCAAGAUCUUACUUAAUAGUAAUUUAUCAAUUAAAUAUUUUGUAUAUAAAGACUUGGGUGCUGAAUAAUUAAAAGAGCUUAUGGGAUUGUGUUCAUGAUUAUAUUCCACAAUUUCAAAAAAAUUGAGUGAGCUUUGUUUUUUUAAUAUAGUUUAUUGUUAUCCAAUGAAAUUUUUUGAAAGAUAGGUGAUGACAAAUGUUGGAAGUGUAUUAACAAGAUAAGACUGAAUAAUCUAGGCGACUAGGAAACAUAGUACAACAACAAAAACAAAACACAAGAAAGAGUUGGAUAUGUUAUGGACAUUUAUGACUGGCAUAUCCAGGUAUGAUGCUAUUACCCUAAAUAAAAAGGUAAGAUAAAUAGGUUCCAGUCAUUUUUGAAUUUUAUAUAUUAUAUAAUGUAGUAGUCAUAAAAAAAAUAUCUACACGUCAUUGAAGAUACUUCCUUACACGUCAUUGAAAAUACUUCUUUGUUUAAUAUUCAUCACACUCUCUAUAUAACUAAUUUCUGUCAUAUUUAUAACAAAUUAAUAGAUUGUGAGAUUUGUAUUUGUAUUUUGAAUUAUUAUUGAGUGUAGGUAUGUGUAAUUAUUAUCAGUUUCGUAUUAUUAAUACUCCAAGGAAAAAACUAGCUUCAAGCCCACAUAGAUAAAACAAAAUAAUA